rnacentral:tRNA from 1 species
GCUGGUGUAGCUCAAUGGCAGAGCAGUUGAUUUGUAAUCAUCAGGUUGUAGGUUCGACUCCUAUCACCAGCUCCA